CCUACGGGAGGCAGCAGUAGGGAAUAUUGCUCAAUGGGGGAAACCCUGAAGCAGCAACGCCGCGUGGAGGAUGAAGGUUUUAGGAUUGUAAACUCCUUUUGUGAGAGAAGAUAAUGACGGUAUCCCACGAAUAAGCACCGGCUAACUCCGUGCCAGCAGCCGCGGGAAUACGGAGGGUGCAAGCGUUACUCGGAAUCACUGGGCGUAAAGAGUGCGAAGGCGGGCUUGUAAGGCAGAUGUGAAAUCCUGUAGCUUAACUACAGAACUGCAUUUGAAACUAUGAGUCUAGAGUGUGGGAGAGGUAGGUGGAAUUCUUGGUGUAGGGGUAAAAUCCGUAGAUAUCAAGAGGAAUACUCAUUGCGAAGGCGACCUACUGGAACAUUACUGACGCUCAUGCACGAAAGCGUGGGGAGCAAACAGGAUUAGAUACCCGAGUAGUC
rnacentral:rRNA from 1 species